UGCAAGCGUUAAUCGGAAUUACUGGGCGUAAAGCGUGCGCAGGCGGUUUGGUAAGUCCGUUGUGAAAGCCCCGAGCUCAACUUGGGAAUUGCAGUGGAUACUGGCAGGCUGGAGUACGGUAGAGGAAGGUGGAAUUCCCGGUGUAGCAGUGAAAUGCGUAGAUAUCGGGAGGAACACCAGUGGCGAAGGCGGCCUUCUGGACCAGUACUGACGCUCAUGCACGAAAGCGUGGGGAUCAAACAGG
rnacentral:rRNA from 1 species